CCUGGAUGGCGCGGUCCAGCCCGACCGCCGGUCUCCUUGACUCAACCUCCAGCCCCGGAGGGCCGGGCUCAACCUCGGCGGACCGGGUGCUGCCCGCACGGCCCCGGCUGCAUCACCGCCCCGGACUGUGCCGGCGCACGAGGCCGCCCUCCUCGGCGCCCCCGGGUGGGGCAGGUCGAGCCCGGUGCGCUAUCCCUUUAAGCCCGGGCGAGAUGGGAGCUGUCAGCGACAGCAGAGGCUAGCGCGGGACGUCGCCGCCCGCCAGGCCGGAGCGCGGAGCCGCGGAGCGGGAGGAGAGCCGAGGGGGCGGUGGGGCCCGGGCGCGGCGGGUCCCCUCGCCGCCCACUGUGCGCCGGAACCCUGGGCCCGGCGAGUGGCGGGCGGCACCCCAGAGUAAUGCGGAGAAUGUGAGGGCAGCGCAGGCCGGUGGAGAGGAGGCGGCGGCGCGGGAGAGGGCGUCGGCAAGAUAGACGGAGAGGCAGCCGGAGAGACGGAGGACCGGGAUCCGGGCGGGUGCAGGUGGGAGAAGGGAAACGAGACAGAAGGAGAGGCAGCGACAGAAAAGAGGGAAAGAAAGGAGCGGGAGAGCACGCGGCUGCGGGCGGCGGCGCAGGCGAGGAGCAGGGAGCCCGCGCCUCUGGGUGGGAGCACCAGAAGCCGGAGUCGGGCACCGGGGCCGGGGAUCAGGCGGAGAGCACGGCCGCGGCCGGGCCGGCAGGGUGAAGGAGCAGGGACGCCAGAGGGGGCCCCUCUGGGAACACCGGAGGAUCUAAGGCGGGGCCAGCCCGGUAGGACCGCAGGGUCACUCCGCAGGCUCCGCGGGCCGCGCUCCGGGGGCUCCCGGCGGGCCGGGGCCUUUGUGAGCGCCCCAGGAGGGCAAGAGUCGGGAGUGCGGAGCCGGUUGUGCGGCGGCGGGGGUGUGUGCGCGCCCAGGUGUGCGCGUGUGUGCACGAGUGUGAGCGCCCAGGCAGUUGGGAGCGCGCGUUAGGGAUUCUGCUGGCAUCGCAGUGUGGAGAACUGGCGGCAGGAGCGGGGCGCGGAGGGGAGCGCGGGGCCCUCCCGUGCACACGCACACUCACCGCGCGCGCGCGCGCACACACACACACACAUACACACACACACACACUCGCGCACACGCCCUCCCUUCCUCGCUCGUUGCCGCGGCCACCAUCUCAGAGCCGAGCCCUGCGUAGCGGGAACCCGAGCCGGAGCGGGAACCAGAGAGGAGCCCAGCGGGGGAAUGCGGCCCCGGAGCGGAGCUGCGCGCCGACUGCGCGCCCGGGACGCCUCCUGCCCUCACAGGCCCUGAGGCCCCUGAGCCCACAGGCAGAGAGAGAGAUUGCCAGGCCCCCUCCCAGCUACACUCCCUACAAGCCCGCCUGACCUGAGGUGUCCCUCUGAAGAGUCCCUGCGCCUGCUUCCACCCCCUAGAGGUAAGCAGUGGAUGUCUGGGGUGGUGGAUGAGGGGAAGACCAGAGGGUGAAAUGUGUGCGGAGCAGGUUCCAGGGGCCUUGUCUCCCUCUGCUUGGCCCUCUCUGCCGUCUUUUCUUUCUUUCUCCUCUUCCAUCUCCCGGAGCCCCUGUCCUCCUCCAGCCAUGAUCCUGGGGGUGCUUCUGAGUUGCAGAAUGCAGAAGGGGUUUGGGAUCAGCUUUCAGGGAAGAAGAGAGGAGAGUGGUUCCUAGGUCGGAUGGGGUGAGGCUUACUGAUGCUGGGGAGCAGCUGCUGGGGUUUGGGAGCUGCUGGCCUAGGAACCAGUCAGGAGUGGGGCUCGGGGACCCUGGAGGUCCCUCACUGAGCAGGGGGCAGGGCUGUGGGCCUGCCUGUGGGGGACAAGCCAGGGCAUGAGUUAGGCUGUGGGUGCUCUGGGUGGUCGAGCUCAGGCUUUGGGGGCCUGGCUGUGCUCUGCAAUGAAUAAGCAUUUGGAGGACAGUAUUCUGGGGCCUGGAGAAUGCUGUUUGAUGAGGGGCUGCAUGGACAGUCUGGGUAGAGCAGACGCUUUCCCUCCCCUCCCCCCAGUUUCUUGUGUCUCCUCGGACUUCAGCUCCAAGGAGGCUUUGCUGAGUGGAUGAUUUCUAGGAGGGCUCUGGCUCUAAUUUGGCGUCAGGGGCCCCAGGGUGUCUGCUGAGUCAGUCUCGCCUCCAUGCAAGGGAGGGAGCGGAGGAGUGUGAAGGGGGGGAGGUGGCACCAUCCCCCACAGACCUUUCACAGCAAUAGCAGCAGCCAGUGGGGAGCAGUGGGGGACUUGAGGGUAGGGUUCCCUGGUCCUCUACCCUCAUCUGACAGUCUAGCCUUGCUGCACGCACAGGGUGGGGGUUCACUGGGAUAACCAUUUGGAAUCCUGGCUCCCCCCCUUGUCUCUGUUACUCUUCUGCAUUUCCCCAUCUGUGUAAGGGGCCCCCCACAGUGCAUCCUUCAGGGCAUUGUGUUGUAUAGAGAAGGCUUGCUACAGAGUCUAGAACACAGCUGAUGCUCAGGAAAUGUUAAAAGGCACAUCAGUUAUUCUUGCCUCUAGGACUGAGUUCUGUGAGCACAGAGCCUAGGGUCAGGCAAGGGGUGGGUCUGGUUAUUGGAAAGAGUCUGCAGGACUCUGGGGAACAGAGGAGAACUCGGACACCCCUGCAAAGGCCAGCGCAGACUUUCUGCCGUUCUUGCGAGGAAAAACUCUGCCCAGUGAACCCAGUCCAGGGAGACUGCCUGGAGGAGGGGUGUUAAUUGUUAUUAAUUUGCCAUGAUUGGCCACCUCUUUCAAGUCUACAAGAAACAUUUUUCACACUUUAAUUAGCUCAUUAAUCUUAACAACAACUUGUGAGCAGGAGCAGUUUGUUCCCUUCCUAGAGGUGGAAAUGCCAAGGUGGGGAGGUGGGGACAGGGCCCUGUUGGCCAAAGUAGGAUCUGGCUCAGGUUCUCUCUCCAAGUUCUACAGUCUGCACAUCACCCCCAACUACUCCACACACUGCCUCCCAGUUUGGGGCCUCCCAAGGGGAGAGGAAUGGUUGGAGGCCACACUCUCAGCCACCAUGCCUCCUGGCCAGGUCCCCAGGAGCUGGGGUCUGCCCUCCAGAGAAGCCAUGACAUGUUGGUGUGGGAGCUGAACUCCCGUCUGGAACAGGGGGCCACAGUCAGCAGCGCUGCACAAUGAAGCCACUUGACUGGUCUCUUGGGCUCCCUCUCUGGGGCACACCCCUCUUUCCUCUCCUCUGUGUCUGCACACUAAGCCUCUCUGCUUAGAGUGUGCCCCUCUUAGAAGCUACCCCACAAGUCCCUGCCCUUAGCUGCUCUCUGCAGUUCGCCAUCCCCCGGGUGGCUGAGUGGGCUCCAGCUUGAGUGAGAGCAAGCCAGGCGCUUGUUUCAGACAUGGGCUUCAGCUACAGGGAUGCUGCUUAGGGGUAGAAUCGGGAAGGGGCAGGUUCAGACCCGCGGGGCUGACUGCAGAAGUCUGAAGGGAUGUCAUCGGCACACCUGGAACUGGCAUCUGAUGCCGGUUGACUAUUUAUGACCCGUGGCAUGGCCUGAGGAAUCUUUGGAAGAGAAGAAACCUGUGCUGGAACAGUGCCCACAUGGGGGGGCGGGGCACGGGGAGCCUGGCAGGGAGGCAUUAUGCAAAUCUGGGAGCCACGGUUACAGCAGCAUCUGUCCAGGGGCAGAAGGGGGAGCCGCGGGUCACACCCGGGCACGGGCUCCAUCUGCACUCAAGGCUGGGCACGGGUGGUGGCCAGCCUCAGUCAGUGCUCUGCCCCACGUGAAGCCACAUGUGGGCAUCUGAGGGGACCAGAAAGGUGAGGGCUGCUCCAGAAGGGGCCUGGGUCCCCCCAGCAGAGCCCAGGAGGCCUAGGGAAAGGCUCUGGCCUGGACAGGUGGGCUUGCCAUACACCCACCCCAUCUCCAUCACACCUGCCAUUAUUCACCGGCUUGGCUUUUGGUGUGGGUCUGAGAUGUGGACCCAAGCUGUGACUGCCCUCAUUUCUAAAACAGGGGACUGAUGGGGCUGGGUGUCAGGCCUGUGCCCUAAUUGACAUCCUAUUCCUGGGGAUGUAAUUUUCAGCUUUCAGAAGUCAGAUUGUCUCUGUUUCCUUCGUUUUCACCUCUGUUAGUUCAGCACAGAAGGGAGACCCCAUGGCCCUCUCCCCUCUCCCCACCAGGCCUUCAGUCGUGGGCAUUUCUACAGUGCUUGGGGAUAAACUUAGCAGAAAAGUAUAGAGUUAAGAGCCCACGUUCGAAGCCAGAUCAUCUGGGUUCAUAGUGUCACUAUUUGUGAGCUGUGUGACUUUGAGCAAGUUUCCUAGUUUCUCUGUUCUUCAGUUUCCUCAUCUGUACCACGGGCGCAACAGCCACUUCCUCGUGGGUAUGUUGGAUAAGAUGGUGCGUGAGAAGCUUUUAAACAUGGCCUGGCACGUGGCAAGGGCCCCGUCCAUGGAGCUACUGGGAUUGCCAGGAUUGAUGGCUGGUAACUCUUAUGGGCGGGUGGGCAGCUGAGUCAGCUGCGGCUGAAGCCAG
ensembl:lincRNA